rnacentral:rRNA from 1 species
CUUGCUUCUCUUGAGAGCGGCGGACGGGUGAGUAAUGCCUAGGAAUCUGCCUGGUAGUGGGGGAUAACGUCCGGAAACGGACGCUAAUACCGCAUACGUCCUACGGGAGAAAGCAGGGGACCUUCGGGCCUUGCGCUAUCAGAUGAGCCUAGGUCGGAUUAGCUAGUUGGUGGGGUAAUGGCUCACCAAGGCGACGAUCCGUAACUGGUCUGAGAGGAUGAUCAGUCACACUGGAACUGAGACACGGUCCAGACUCCUACGGGAGGCAGCAGUGGGGAAUAUUGGACAAUGGGCGAAAGCCUGAUCCAGCCAUGCCGCGUGUGUGAAGAAGGUCUUCGGAUUGUAAAGCACUUUAAGUUGGGAGGAAGGGCAGUAAAUUAAUACUUUGCUGUUUUGACGUUACCGACAGAAUAAGCACCGGCUAACUCUGUGCCAGCAGCCGCGGUAAUACAGAGGGUGCAAGCGUUAAUCGGAAUUACUGGGCGUAAAGCGCGCGUAGGUGGUUCGUUAAGUUGGAUGUGAAAUCCCCGGGCUCAACCUGGGAACUGCAUUCAAAACUGACGAGCUAGAGUAUGGUAGAGGGUGGUGGAAUUUCCUGUGUAGCGGUGAAAUGCGUAGAUAUAGGAAGGAACACCAGUGGCGAACGCGACCACCUGGACUGAUACUGACACUG